UUGUGAAUCCCCUGGGGAUCUUGUUAAAAUGCAGAUUCUGAUUCAUCAUUUGUGGGAUGGGGCCUGAGAGUUUGUAUUUCUCAUAAGUUCCCAGGUGAUGUUGAU
rnacentral:pre_miRNA from 1 species